UACGGGGGAAAAAUUUAUUGCUAUUAGAUGAGCCUAUAUUAGAUUAGCUAGUUGGUGGAGUAAUAGCCUACCAAGGCAAUGAUCUAUAGCUGAUCUGAGAGGAUGAUCAGCCACACUGGAACUGAGAUACGGUCCAGACUCCUACGGGAGGCAGCAGUGGGGAAUAUUGGACAAUGGGCGAAAGCCUGAUCCAGCCAUGCCGCAUGAGUGAAGGAGGCCUUUGGGUUGUAAAGCUCUUUUAGUGAGGAAGAUAAUGACGGUACUCACAGAAGAAGUCCUGGCUAACUCCGUGCCAGCAGCCGCGGUAAUACGGAGAGGGCUAGCGUUAUUCGGAAUUAUUGGGCGUAAAGGGCGCGUAGGCGGAUUAGUAAGUUAAAAGUGAAAUCCCAAGGCUCAACCUUGGAAUUGCUUUUAAAACUGCUAAUCUAGAGAUUGAAAGAGGAUAGAGGAAUUCCUAGUGUAGAGGUGAAAUUCGUAAAUAUUAGGAGGAACACCAGUGGCGAAGGCGUCUAUCUGGUUCAAAUCUGACGCUGAGGCGCGAAGGCGUGGGGAGCAAACAGGAUUAGAUACCCUGGUAGUCCACGCUGUAAACGAUGAAUGUUAAAUAUGGGAAGUUUUACUUUCUGUAUUACAGCUAACGCGUUAAACAUUCCGCCUGGGGACUACGGUCGCAAGAUUAAAACUCAAAGGAAUUGACGGGGACCCGCACAAGCGGUGGAGCAUGUGGUUUAAUUCGAUGCAACGCGAAAAACCUUACCACUCCUUGACAUGGAAAUUAUACCUAUUCGAAGGGAUAG
rnacentral:rRNA from 1 species